rnacentral:misc_RNA from 1 species
UUCUAAAUUUUUUAAAUUGUGACCCCUGGACCAAUACUGGAGCCCCAAGAGGGGUUCAAAAUUUAACAUAGAAAUAUAUAAGGAAAAUGUUUAAAAAUCAUUUAACGAACAAUAAUGCUACAAUUUGUGAGUUUACUAUGCAAGCAUCAUAAAAUAGUGCAUUCUAAAUUGUUAAAAUUAUGACCCCAGACAAAUAUUGAAGCCCCAAAAGAUGUUCAAAGUUUAACAUAAAAAUAUUAUAGGGAAAAUGUUUAAAUCUUCUCAAGAGUUCAAAUUAUACAAUUUGUAAAAUUACUAUGCAAGCAUCCUCAAAUGAUUUAGAUUAUAAAUUGUUAAAAUCGUGACCCCUGGACUGAUACUGAGACCCUUAAAGGGGUUCAAAGUUUCACAAAAAAAUAUAUAGGGAAAAUAUUUAAAAAACUGAAAUAGAAUGAUACAAGGAACUGUGUUAUGAGCGAUGUGGCCUAUGGUCCUAUUGUUUUGUAUUGUUGGAGAGAUGAUGAGAUGACAUGACAAUGUUUUUUCUAUUUCUUUUUUUUUUGCUUUCAGGCCUAUGGUCCUGUUGUUUUUGUGUUGUUAGAGAAAUGAUGAGAUGACAUGACAAUGUUUUUUUCUAUUUCUUUUUGCUUUCAUCGUUAAUGAAGUAAUGUGUUACUGC